rnacentral:sRNA from 1 species
CCGUGCGCUCCUCCCACCACGUGAUGUGCCGGCCGGCCGCCGGCCGGUCGUCGCCGGGAGGCCAAGCGCCGUGCGCGACCACAGGAGCGCUACGGUGCGCCAAGGAUGUUUGCGAAGAGAAGAGAAAGGCCUGUGUGCGCACGGGCAGUUCGAUGUCGUCUCUAUACACUUGAGC